rnacentral:rRNA from 1 species
CUACGGGAGGCAGCAGUGGGGGAUAUUGCACAAUGGGCGAAAGCCUGAUGCAGCAACGCCGCGUGAACGAUGAAGGUCUUCGGAUCGUAAAGUUCUGUUGCAGGGGAAGAUAAUGACGGUACCCUGUGAGGAAGCACCGGCUGACUACGUGCCAGCAGCCGCGGUAAUACGUAGGGUGCUAGCGUUAUCCGGAUUUACUGGGCGUAAAGGGUGCGUAGGUGGUCUUUCAAGUCGGUGGUUAAAGGCUACGGCUCAACCGUAUUAAGCCGCCGAAACUGGAAGACUUGAGUGCAGGAGAGGAAAGUGGAAUUCUCAGUGUAGCGGUGAAAUGCGUAGAUAUUGGGAAGAACACCAGUAGCGAAGGCGGCUUUCUGGACUGCAACUGACACUGAGGCACGAAAGCGUGGGUAGCAAACAGGAUUAGAAACCCUGGUAGUCC